rnacentral:rRNA from 1 species
UGUGCCAGCAGCCGCGGUAAUUCCAGCUCCAAUAGCGUAUAUUAAAGUUGUUGCGGUUAAAAAGCUCGUAGUUGGAUUUCUGUUCCAGACUGACGGUCCACCGAAUCGGUGGCGACUGUCAGGCCUGAACAUCCCGUCGGUUUGAAACGGGGGUCGGUGGCGUGCGUUUAGGCGUGCGUUGCCGUGCCACCCUUCCCGCGGUGCUCUUCGUUGAGUGUCGCGGGAGGCCGACAAGUUUACUUUGAAAAAAUUAGAGUGCUCAAAGCAGGCGUGUCAGCCUGAAUAAUGGUGCAUGGAAUGAUGGAAUAGGACCUCGGUUCUAUUUUGUUGGUUUUCGCAACUCGAGGUAAUGAUUAAGAGGGACAGACGGGGGCAUUCGUAUUGCGACGCUAGGGGUGAAAUUCUUGGACCGUCGCAAGAGAACUAUUGCGAAAGCUUUGCCAGGAAUGUUUUCUUAUUUCUAGAACGAAAGUU